rnacentral:rRNA from 1 species
UCGGACGGUAGCACAGAGGAGCUUGCUCCUCGGGUGACGAGUGGCGGACGGGUGAGUAAUGUCUGGGGAUCUGCCCGAUAGAGGGGGAUAACCACUGGAAACGGGGGCUAAUACCGCAUAACGUCGCAAGACCAAAGAGGGGGACCUUCGGGCCUCUCACUAUCGGAUGAACCCAGAUGGGAUUAGCUAGUAGGCGGGGUAACGGCCCACCUAGGCGACGAUCCCUAGCUGGUCUGAGAGGAUGACCAGCCACACUGGAACUGAGACACGGUCCAGACUCCUACGGGAGGCAGCAGUGGGGAAUAUUGCACAAUGGGCGCAAGCCUGAUGCACCCAUGCCGCGUGUAUGAAGAAGGCCUUCGGGUUGUAAAGUACUUUCAGCGGGGAGGAAGGCGAUGUGGUUAAUAACCGCGUCGAUUGACGUUACCCGCAAAAGAAGCACCGGCUAACUCCGUGCCAGCAGCCGCGGUAAUACAGAGGGUGCAAGCGUUAAUCAGAAUUACUGGGCGUAAAGCGCACGCAGGC